AAAGAAUUAAAAAUUAGCCAGGCAUGGGUGACAUGUGCUUGUGGUCCUAGCUAUUCGGGAGGCUAAGGCAUGAGGAUUGCUUGAACUGCAGUGAGUGAGGCUGCAUUGAGCCAUGUUCAUGCCACUGCAUUCCAGCCUGGGCAACAGAGCAAGACCCAGUCUCAAUGUUUUUUUAAAAAUUUUAUUUUAUCUGUAUUUGUAUUUUAUUAAUUUUUUUUCUAGACUAGGUACUGAUAAUUAUAGUUAACUCUUCUUACUAGGUAACUUGUUUUUAAUACUCUAAAUUUCAUACUAUAUUACUCAAAAUUCAGAAUGUAAGCCAAAGAGAGAUAAAGUAUAUUAAUAAAUGUUAGGUUUAAACUUGUAUGAUACAUUUCCAAAUAGGUAUUAUAUAUUUUUAAAAUAUAUAAUGUCCAUCUUUUCUGUAUUGAUGCCUAUACAACCAUAACCCCAGAAGUACUCUCAUACUGUGAAAGUCAUUGCUAAAUUAGGUAUUCACUUUCUUAAACACAUUUCUGAGAAAAGGGUGUCUUUUUAGGGCAGAUGACUUAGAAGUUCUUUUACGUAGCCAAGGCAAAAGAUUGUCUAUUGAAAGCUUGGAAGGGCUAUAUGUACAUUUGGAGGGGAAAAAAAAUUUAUCUUACCUCCAGCAAGAAGAGAUUUCUAAAAUAUUGUGCUGAAACACAAUAUACCUAGGAUUAGACACUUUUAGAUAGUUAAAUAUAAGAAAUGCUAGGCAAGCAUAAUUUGUAUAUGUAUAAUACACCCUGAAAAUUUUAUUCUCAACUUCACUUCUGUUUAGAUCUGAGACACUAAAAAUAUUUCCUUUAGCAGAAAAUUCUUCAAUGAUUAUAGAAAGAAAAUUUGCUGUAUAGUCACAAAUUUAAUAUACAAAAUUAAGAAGUGCCUUAAAAAAAUUGUAACCUGAUAAUACUUCGCAUUAGUCCUCAUUUCAAAUAUGUGAAGCAGCCAAGAUCCACAAAAGUGUGUAUUUUCAUGUAUUGAAUGAAUAUAUUAAAAUGUUUCUUUUAAAUUUUAUUUUAGAAAAGAUACAGUGAAAACCACUGAAACUGAGUUAGAUGAAUUUGAGAUUUGACUUUGUUUGCUU
rnacentral:lncRNA from 1 species